ensembl:lncRNA
UUUUUUUUUUUUUCCUCACCUCAAAAACCUCAUCAUUCCACACGUCCUAUAUGUUAGUUCCCUGUGCAUGUAAUAAAGAACUUAUUCCAAGUCACACCUGCCUGUAUAUGGACUAUCUCUUUGCAGUGAAUAUCAGUCACUAGGUGGGUUAAAUAGAAAGCAGAAUAGCCCAACAGGCUGAACAUAGAAAAUCAGGCAGGAAUUGAAAAAUGACAAGUGUAUGAAAAACUUCAAUAAAAAAAUACAAAGCUGUUUAAAGUUGAUACCUAAUAUUGUAAAAUUUUAAGAACCUUAAAAAAUUUUACUAGCUUUCAUAAAAUAUACAGUGGAGGUUAGCCAUUGGUGUCAAAAUUAUAUACCUUUUAUCCAAGAAAGUAUUAUAAAGCUUCCUUCAAAACAUUCCCAACAAUACUUCUAAGGUGGUAGGAUUGUAAAUUUUGGACAACCUGGAUAGAUUUGCUGACCUGCACAUAGUGACUGGUUUUUAGCCCGGUGUUUUAUCCGGUCUUCCAAAAACUAUUUGCCUCUAAAAUAUAUGUAACAACCUAGAUGUCAUCCUAGAAGAUGUAGUAAAAGGAUCUAAACAAGAAAUACUUUAUACCUAUAGUCCCACAGUCUAAGAAACUUUAAGGAUCUUAUACUUGUUCUUUGAAAGAGACAGUUGUGCUUUCAGCCAGAAAUGCUCAUACUUUUAAAAACUGAGUUAGUUGGCUCAGGUGUAUGUACUUCACUGUGACAGAGAUGAAAAAUAAACUCCUUAAUUGGCCAGAAUUGUGAGUUAUUUUAUUAUCUUAAAAUUUGUUUUCUCAUAUUGGUGAAUAUAAAAUGCCAGUCUCAUUCACAUUUACCUUAUGUAAGAGAAGAAAAAGGAGAAAAAAAAUUUUUUUAAAGAAUUAUUAUUCUCCGAGUUCCGGUCGUUGCUCAGCAGAAAUGAAUGUGACUAGCAUUCAUGAGGAUGUAGGUUCAAUCCCUGGCCUUGCUCAGUGGGUUAAUGAUCUGGUGUUGCUGUGAGCUGUGGUAUAGGUUGCAGACGUGGCUUGGAUCUGGCGUUGCUGUGGCCGUGGUGUAGGCCAGUGGUGUAGGCUAGAUUGGACCCCUAGCCUGAGAGCCUCCAAUAUCCCGCAGUUUCAGUGCUAAAAAGACCAAAGGAAAAAAAAAAUUAGUUCUUCUCCAUUACUACCCUAUUUGCCCAUUCUGUUGUUGCAACUGCCUAUGGCAAUAAUACACUUGGUUUCCAGAAGGCUGGGCUAAAACAAACCAGAUUAAAAGCACAUUUCCUAUAGCUGGGAUAGAAGCUAGUUUUAACUUCCCCUUUUAUUCACCCAGGACAACAGGCUGGGGCCAUCUGGGCCCCUAUUGUGUCUCUUACCCUCUAGGUAAAAUGAGAGAAGCUGGGUUAUACUGCUUGGCCUUUCAAAUGUGACGAAGAGCCAAGAGUCCUGACAUUAACUGCUAUUUUUCCAUCAACUAAAUAUGGCUCUCUUAAAAAUACAAUCUUUUGGAAGCAAUUAAGCCACAUCAAUCAAAAGACUUAAACAAAAAGCACAUGGUUUCACUCCAACCGAAAGAUACUAAUGUGCACGGCAUAUCUGAUGUCCUGAUACAGAAACAGUUUAAAAUACACUAUGUGGAAAAAAACCAAAAAGGCCCAGAAUUCCUUUGUGCAAACUUUAAGUAUGUAUUAAUGCUAUAUUCAUAGAAAGUUCUGGGAAGAUACAUCAACUUAAUAGUGGUCACCUGUUUUUUUAGGAGAGCGAGGAGUGUAGCUUUUCUUUCUCAUGUAAUUUUCCUAUUUUGAAUGUUCUAGCUCUUGGAUAUAUUGCUUUAUGUAUUCGUUUUUGUGUUAACGGAUUACCUGGAUGGCAAGACUAUGCAUCAUUUUUGUUUGCUUUACUCUGCUCAGGGUAAAGAAACCUAAAUGGUACUUAACAACAGCACCAGGAAAAGUGAUAGAUUUGAUCAUUUUAAAAUAAAAAUUAUAUUCUAAAACAUAAAACUGACAAAGGAUUAGUAUCUGGAAUAAAGAACCCCUAAAAUUUACUCAGGAAAGAAGUAAUUCAAUAGAAAAAUGGGCAAAGGAUGUGAACAGAUACCUCACAAGAAAGGAAAUACCAAUGGCCAAUAGAACCAAAGACUUCAGAAACCAAGGGAAAUGCAAAGGAAAGUCAUCUCACACUUAUCUGAUUUGCAACCACUGUGAAGAGAGCAAUCUGACAAUUUUUAGUCAAGUUUAAGAUGUGCUUAUCCUAUGAAAUACAUCCUUAGUGGCUCACACACUGAGCACAGCACACCAGGAUGUUCUGCUACAGGGCUGUUGGCAACACAGAAACCAUUUGGGAAGUGACGUCAUGUAAUUGAACGCUGCUGCAGAGGAGUGAAAUGAGUGACUAGGAGCAUCACAUACUAAUCACACAAUGAGUGACAUGAAAGCCGCAGAACGAGACAGUAUCAGGUUGAAGCAAUGGACAACAAUACUGAAGACCAGAGGUUUGUAGAUGUAUGUAGUCGAAGUAUGGCAACAUGCAUGAGGCUGAGAGCCACCAAAUCCUGGAUGUUGACAACUGUGGGGGGGAGGAAAAGCAAUGUGGUCUAGAACUGGUCACAUGUUAAAAUUUGACAAAAUGGGUGUCAGAAAUUAGGAUAGUAUAUAAAUAUUUUCUGUACACUUGAAAUAGUUCAGAGCCACCAACACACAUCUACCUAUUUAAGCUCAGAAAGUUGUUUCAAUGAUGAAUUUCAGUGCUCACUGUAGGCCAGAUGCUAUACUAUGAACUAGGAGUCUAAGUCUGAACAAUACAUGGAACCUGCCCUCAAGA